rnacentral:tRNA from 1 species
AGGCGCGUAGCUCAGUGGAAGAGCGCUUGCUUGACAUGCAAGAGGUCGGCGGUUCGAUCCCGCCCGCGCCUACCA